UACGGAAGGCAGCAGUGGGGAAUAUUGCACAAUGGGCGAAAGCCUGAUGCAGCUAUGCCGCGUGUAUGAAGAAGGCCUUAGGGUUGUAAAGUACUUUCAUCGGGGAGGAAAAAACAAAACUAAUAAUUUUAUUUCUUGACGUUACCCGAAAAAGAAGCACCGGCUAACUCCGUGCCAGCAGCCGCGGUAAUACGGAGGGUGCUAGCGUUAAUCAGAAUUACUGGGCGUAAAGAGCACGUAGGUGGUUUUUUUAAGUCAGAUGUGAAAUCCCUGGGCUUAACCUAGGAACUGCAUUUUGAAACUGAAAUACUAGAGUAUCGUAGAGGGAGGUAGAAUUCUAGGUGUAGCGGUGAAAUGCGUAGAUAUCUGGAGGAAUACCUGUGGCGAAAGCGGCCUCCUAAACGAAUACUGACACUGAGGUGCGAAAGCGUGGGGAGCGAAACAGGGAUUAGAUACCCGU
rnacentral:rRNA from 1 species